GACGAACGCUGGCGGCGUGCUUAACACAUGCAAGUCGAACGGAAAGGCCCUGCUUUUGUGGGGUGCUCGAGUGGCGAACGGGUGAGUAACACGUGAGUAACCUGCCCUUGACUUUGGGAUAACUUCAGGAAACUGGGGCUAAUACCGGAUAGGAGCUCCUGCUGCAUGGUGGGGGUUGGAAAGUUUCGGCGGUUGGGGAUGGACUGGCGGCUUAUCAGCUUGUUGGUGGGGUAGUGGCUUACCAAGGCUUUGACGGGUAGCCGGCAUGGGAGGGGGGACGGCGACAAUGGGACUAAGAUACGGACCAGACUGCUACGGGAGGCAGCAGUGGGGAGUAUUGCACAAUGAGCGGAAGCCUGAUGCAGAAACGCCGCGUGCGGGAUGACGGCCUUCGGGUUAUAAACCGCUUUCGCCUGUGACGAAGCGUGAGUGACGGUAAUGGGUAAAGAAGCACCGGCUAACUACGUG
rnacentral:rRNA from 1 species